AGAUAUCGAGCGGGGCGUGCCGGAGGGCUUCUCUGCUUUUAGGUUUCAGAGUCCUGUUGCCUACCCCGACGUAAUACAUCACCCUGGCGUCACCUUUCCAUGUGUGAUGUGACGCAGAGCAUGAUCCUUGGGCCUCUUUGUCCCUCCUGACCAAGGUGAACGGGCAGGAUGGCCUCGCCCCUUAGGAGCAAGUCCUCCUCCCCGCGAGUGGAAAGCACCCGCCACAAGGAGACAUCGACUGUCCGCGUGGAGACGUCGUCCCACCGCGAGGAAACAUCAUCCCACCGCGUGGAGACGUCCUCCCGGCAGGUUCGAACGUCUUCCCGGCAGGUGGAGACCUCCCAGCGCCACCGAGAGGGCCCCUCCCUCACCCCCUCCACGAAGCGACUCCCUCAAUUCCUCGAGGUGUCCUCCCAGCACGUGGAAACCUCCUCGCAGUGCACGGAAACGUCCUCCCGCCACGUCAGGGCGUCGUCAUCCCUGAGGGUGGAGACUACUGUGCACCGUGUAGAGAGCCCAGCCAGGCGAGACAAGCAAGCCACUCGGCAGAGUGCCAGAAUGGCUCGAUGAAGUGCCAAAGGUCCUUAGCCAGGACUGAAGAGUUGCCAGCCAGCCAGCUUUCAAGAGAGCCGAGCAUCUUUGGUUUCAUGGAAAGAGCCCAUAAAUCAGUGUAAGAAACAAGCUGUGGGUUUCUGGGAGCUGUUAACAUGUACUGACAUUGCAGCACCUUAGACCAUCCUACUGUUGUCCCCAGUGUACUAUUAACUUGAAGCCAGCACGGAAGGGUUUCAGAUUUGUGGUGCUGUAUAAACCCAGCUGAUGGACAAAGAGAUUCUUUGAGUCUCUACAUCAGUAGUAUUUGGAAGACUGGCCGAAUGUGACUCUGGAAAAGCCAGGCACCUGCUUCUGGAUCACUGAUGCUUCAGGAAGGGCGUGGGAAGGAUCCCGGUAGAUUCCCUGUGGUCCUUGUCUUAUUUUUAUCUAGGAUUCUUCCUCCAUAUUUCACGUAUUCAUGUUCCGAGAGAGAGAGAGAGAGAGAGAGAGAGAGAGAGAAUGUAAUGAAACAUCUUUGCCAUAAAUCUAUAUUAUACAUUCCACAGCUUCAAAAUGACAGUGUGCGUCAAUGAAGGUAAUUGUUGAUGUACCUGUUGCACUUUGUAAAUGUGCGUGUUACUGUUAGCCAUGCUGUGUGUCUUCCUCAUUGUUCUCUGUAGGAAAUAGAGCUGCUAUACCUGGCAUAUGUUACACAGUGUUAAAGACAGCAUGUGCAACAAUAAUAGAUGAAGAGCAAUAUUCUCCAUUUGCAGCCGAGAAAGCCUUUAAUGACAGUCUAAUAAUUGGAUUUAUUAUGCUGGGUAAUAGUUGUGUCUUGCCCUCAGCUGUGCCAGCCAGGCUAGUUUUAAAAACUAAAUAAAUGCAAGUUCUUGU
ensembl:processed_transcript